GGGAAUGUGGCUUAGUGGUAAAGUGCUUGCCCUGCAUGCAUGAAGCCCUGGGUUCGAUUCCUCAGUACCA
rfam:Dipodomys ordii contig_58552, whole genome shotgun sequence.